UUAUAAGAGACAGCAGCAGCCACGGUAAUACAGAGGGUGCGAGCGUUAAUCGGAUUUACUGGGCGUAAAGCGUGCGUAGGCGGCUUCUUAAGUCGGAUGUGAAAUCCCUGAGCUUAACUUAGGAAUUGCAUUCGAUACUGGGAAGCUAGAGUAUGGGAGAGGAUGGUAGAAUUCCAGGUGUAGCGGUGAAAUGCGUAGAGAUCUGGAGGAAUACCGAUGGCGAAGGCAGCCAUCUGGCCUAAUACUGACGCUGAGGUACGAAAGCAUGGGGAGCAAACAGGAUUAGAUACCCCAGUAGUCCCUGUCUCUUAUAA
rnacentral:rRNA from 1 species